CCGGCGGCGGCGGCGGCUCGGCCCCGCAGGACAUGUGGGACCUGGGCGGCCGGGGCUGCAGCUCGGACAGGCAGUCCUGGUCCAGCGAGAUGGAGCCCGGGCCUUGCGCGUGGCGCUGGCCAUACGCGCGCCACUCGAGACACUCGUGGUGCGAUGAUUGGGCAGCCCUGGCUGGGAUGGACGCGUCACCUGUGAAUCCCUCUUCUCCCCCACCCUCUGCGGGAUGCCCUCUCUGCGUCUGCAUGCGAUCCAAGUGCUGUUUUGUGUGGACCUCGCCAUGCCUCCUCCAAAAGCCAGGGUUAGCGUUGGCUGAAGGGUAAAAAAGGAGGCAGGAGACCUUGCCCAGCGCCUAGACCUACAGAGCUGGGGCACAAGGCUGAGCAGCUGUCAGUGUGCAGCGCUGGGCGGGGCUGCGCCUCAGCUUUCUCGGUGGGGAGAUGAGGCUUAGCUGGAAGCUCUCACACUGGGGCGUGUGUCAGACAAGGCUGGUGCUUGGAGGGGGGCCUGGCACCCCAUCGUCUCGCACCCUCUCCUCCUGUCACCGCUAGUACUACCUUAGGACUGUUGUUCUUGCUUUUGGACUCCUCUGCUGCAGGCCUAUCGGGUGGGCUUCCUGAUGUGCGGGACCACUGUUGUUGCGGAAGUUGCCCUCGAGAGUUGGUCUUCUGGACAGGUGAUUCUUGGGAUUCCUGUCGAGGAGAGAAGACAUCUGGGGUAUAAUUCCCAGCACCCACGCCAUCCCGCAUGUGCCUUUCUUGCAGUGGCCAGGCCAGGGGAAGCAGCGACAGCCACUAUGCAAAGGCCUCUGGCCUCUUAGGUCCUUAGUUUAGCCUCAGACCUCGUGUGCCCCUCUGAUUCUGGCCGGAACCUAACUUCCAUGAGAAGAAACAAAGUGGGGACUCUCCUAGAACAUCCAAAACCAAAAACCAAGUGUGGCAGCUCGUGUUUUUGCACCUGUGGUUCUUCUCUAGACAUCAUUAUGGCGGACCAUCUCCUCCCUGGGCCUAUGUCCUGCCUCAAGGAUGAGCUUAUUCACAGAGAUAAAGACCUGUCACGCUCACCAGACUGCAGAGGAGUGGCUGCUGGCCCUGACCGCACUGUGGCAGACUGCAAGGUUCUGCACCCUCUCAGAGGUCAUGGGAGGAAGUGAAGGAGUUUCCAUGCCCAUGUCCUCUCCCUCCCGGGGGGCCUGUGGCUACCCUCCCAGUCAGCCCUGCAGUCUGCUCACCCUGAUCAUGGAGAUCGGCUGGCCCUGCUCCCACCAAAGGCGCGUGUGAAUAUACACACGUGCCAUGCGGUAGGGGCCAGCUCCCCCAGCUGCACAGAGGCAGCGUCUACACGACAGGUGACCCCGCGUGGGGCAACAUCUCAGCCAGUGACUCGGAUUGCCUGCAUGCCUCAUCUGAAAGAUUGUGCAGAAAACGGUCAGUGCGAAGGCUGGAUUCCCCUCCCGCCCUGGUCUGCACCCAGGCGGAGGGGACCUGGGCCUGCUUCUAUGCUGCUGACGCUGUAGAAACCAGGGCUGUGGACUGGAGGGGCUUCCCCACGGUCCCUUACCCUCCUCCUCAGGACACAACUGUACCCAGUGCAGGUCGCAAUGAGUCCCCAUCCCCGGGCAUUUUUAGGGUGCCCUCUGCUCUGUAAUUCGCUCACCACAGCUGCACAGAAGGUCGGCUCACCUGACUGCCCACACGGCUGCCCGGUUUCUCAGAUUCCCGUCUUUUUUCUGAGUCUAUGCUCUCUUUAGAGUAUCGCGUCCCAGGAUCAUUCUUAAUAUGGAAACAAAGGGUGUUUGUUCAUGUCUAAUCUCAAGGGCAUCAGAAAGCUUGAGUCUGGGAAUAAAAGGGUAAAUCUAGAAUUUGUCUUUUUGUCUAUAUUGUAAAUAAACUUUAGACUUUUUCUCUCCUAACAAGUUAAAAAAAGUUAUAAUCAAGAAUUAUGCAAAAAAUUCAUCUAAAUAUGUUGGCUUAUAGUUUCAAGGCAGGAAGCAUUUAUCAUUUAGAAAUGAUAACGGAAGAAAUACUACUGGAGAAUUUUCCAGGGCUCAGCAUGACUUAGCAUUAAAUGUGAAGUUGUUUACACAGAAUAAAUUUUAUUUUGUCCAUUGC